AUUCUUCAUAAAUGAUCAUGGUUAUAUGUGAUUAAUGACAUUUUUACCUAAUUAUUUCUGAUCUGGAUGCCUUUAAUUUCUUUUUCUUGCUAGAACAACAUGUACAGUGGUGACGGGACAUUCUUGCCUUCAUUCUGAUCUUAGGGGGAAAGCGUUGAGUCUUUUUACUAUUAAGUAUUAAUAUGAUGAUAACUACAGUUUUUUCACUGUGCCUUUCUGUUAUUAAUAGGAGGAAGUUCCCUUCUAUGCCUAGUUUACUGAGAAAUUUUAUAAGGAAUAGACAUUAAAUUUUGUCAGAUUUUGCAUAUAUUGAGAUGAUUAUGUGUUUUUUUCAUUUUAGGUUUAUUAACUUGGAUUUUUUAAACUAAUAUUGCAUUUCUGAGAUAAACCCCAUUUAGUCUUUACUGAAUUGUGUCCUCCCAAAAUUCAUUUGUUGAAGCUCAAAUUCUCUUUGUGACUAUCAGGGAGAGCAUCUUUAGGAGGUAAUAAAGGUUAAAUGAGGUCGUAAGGGUGGGGCCUUAUAGGACUGUGGUCUUAUAAGAAGAGAAAGAGAUCGCAUGCUCUCUCUCUCUACACCAUGUGAGGACAUGUUAAGAAGGUGGCUGUCUGCAAACCAGCAAAAAAGUCCUCACCAGAAUCCAACAGUGCUGGCACCCUGAUCUCAGACUUUCAGCCUCCAGAACUGAGAAAGAAUGUCUCGCUUUCAUUCAAAACCAAGAGGUUGUCUUAUGUUGGUUUCCCCAAGAAGCAGACCCUGAGACAAAAAUGUGAGUGCCAGUAGUUUAUUUGGGAAGUGAUGUCAGGAAAGAUGCCAGGAAGUGUGGGAGGGGAGAAGUGAGAUGGGGAAGGGGACAAAAAGCCAAUACAGGAUGUGUUAUCAAGUAAGUUACCACUAUGAGCAACUAGGGCUAAAUCCUCCUUUUGAGCUCUGGAAGACAGUGUAGGUCGUAUGUCAGAUUUAUCUCAACCAAGGGGUAAAGGAGCUUCUGUAGGUUACUAAUUAAGGGCUGUUGCCAAGAAGGGUUAACUUCCCUGCCCUGCAGUCCAGAGAAAAUCCUCAGGCAAAGACUUGCACAUUUCUGCACUAGAAUCAUAAAUGCUGAGGGGAUACAGACAAGGUCCUUGCCAGCAACUGCUAAGAGGUAACAAUAAAACAUAAUUCCAUUUCUUGGUUAAUUAAAGAUAUUAAAAAAUUGUCUAAUUGAC